GAGGAGGAUUUGUCCCCCAUCACGGUGAUCCAGCAGCACCUCCAGGGCAGAGCUGAGCUGGUGAAGGAGAGGGCCAAACAGCUCAGGUUCCUUCACGCUGUGCCAAGUCUGUGUUUCUCGGCACAGAAAUGGGCGAGACACCCUGGAGCCCCACAUCUGCAAAGCGGCCCCUGUGGAGAGCAUUGCGUCACAGUCGCGCACACAGAGGAAUCUAAGCCACAGGAAAUAAAGAAAACCAUUUGGAAAGAAGCAUUGGUGUUAUCCCUCACAAGUGAC